rnacentral:rRNA from 1 species
CCUACGGGAGGCAGCAGUGAGGAAUAUUGGUCAAUGGGAGGAAUCCUGAACCAGCCAUGCCGCGUGCAGGACGACGGCUCUACGAGUUGUAAACUGCUUUUGUACCGGGGUAAAAUGCUCUACGAGGAGGGUUUUGCAAGUACGGUACCAAUAAGGAUCGGCUAACUCCGUGCCAGCAGCCGCGGUAAUACGGAGGAUCCGAGCGUUAUCCGGAUUCAUUGGGUUUAAAGGGUGCGUAGGUUGUUUUAUAAGUUAGCGGUGAAAUACCGAUGCUCAACAUCGGGGCUGCCGCUGAUACUGUAGGACUAGAGAUCGGAUGCAGCAGGCGGAAUGUGUAGUGUAGCGGUGGAAUGCAUAGAUAUUACACAGAACACCGAUUGCGAAGGCAGCUUGCUAGGCCGGAUCUGACACUGAUGCACGAAAGCGUGGGGAUCGAACAGGAUUAGAUACCCCAGUAGUC